rnacentral:rRNA from 1 species
GAUGAACGCUGGCGGCGUGCCUAAUACAUGCAAGUCGAGCGAACGGACGAGAAGCUUGCUUCUCUGAUGUUAGCGGCGGACGGGUGAGUAACACGUGGAUAACCUACCUAUAAGACUGGGAUAACUUCGGGAAACCGGAGCUAAUACCGGAUAAUAUUUUGAACCGCAUGGUUCAAAAGUGAAAGACGGUCUUGCUGUCACUUAUAGAUGGAUCCGCGCUGUAUUAGCUAGUUGGUAAGGUAACGGCUUACCAAGGCAACGAUGCAUAGCCGACCUGAGAGGGUGAUCGGCCACACUGGAACUGAGACACGGUCCAGACUCCUACGGGAGGCAGCAGUAGGGAAUCUUCCGCAAUGGGCGAAAGCCUGACGGAGCAACGCCGCGUGAGUGAUGAAGGUCUUCGGAUCGUAAAACUCUGUUAUUAGGGAAGAACAUAUGUGUAAGUAACUGUGCACAUCUUGGCGGUACCUAAUCAGAAAGCCACGGCUAACUACGUG